AGAUCGAUGUGGUGCUCCGGAGUUCUCUUCGGGCCAGGGCCUAAGCCGCGCCAGGCGAGGGACGGACAUUCAUGGCGAAUGGCGGCUGCUCUUCUCGUUCUGCCAGCGGGCCCCUCGUCUCUCCACCCCAUCCGUCUGCCGGUGGUGUGUGGAAGGCAGGGGUGCGGCUCUCCGGCCCGAGCGCUGCCCCGCGCGCACUUUUCUCAGUGGUUCGCGUGGUCCUUGUGGAUGUGUGAGGCGCCCGGUUGUGCCCUCACGUGUUUCACUUUGGUCGUGUCUCGCUUGACCAUGUCCCCAGAGUCGGUGGAUGUGGCCGGUGGCGUUGCAUACCCUUCCCGUCUGGUGUGUGCACGCGCUGUUUCUUGUAAGCGUCGAGGUGCUCCUGGAGCGUUCCAGGUUUGUCUCCUAGGUGCCUGCUUCUGAGCUGGUGGUGGCGCUUCCCAUUCCCUGGUGUGCCUCCGGUGCUCCGUCUGGCUGUGUGCCUUCCCGUUUGUGUCUGAGAAGCCCGUGAGAGGGGGGUCGAGGAGAGAAGGAGGGGCAAGACCCCCCUUCUUCGUCGGGUGAGCGCCCACCCCGCGCACUAGUACGCCUGUGCGCCUGUGCGUAGGGCUGGUGCUGAGCGGUCGCGGCUGGCCUUGGAAAGUUUCUCGAGAGACUCAUUGCUUUCCCGUGGGGAGCUUUGAGAGGCCUGGCUUUCGGGGGGGACCGGUUGCAGGGUCUCCCCUGUCCGCGGAUGCUCAGAAUGCCCUUGGAAGAGAACCUUCCUGUUGCCGCAGACCCCCCGCGCGGUCGCCCGCGUGUUGGUCUUCUGGUUUCCCUGUGUGCUCCUCGCAUGCAUCCUCUCUUGGUGGCCGGGGCUCGUCGGGGUUUUGGGUCCGUCCCGCCCUCAGUGAGAAAGUUUCCUUCUCUAGCUAUCUUCCGGAAAGGGUGCGGGCUUCUUACGGUCUUGAGGGGUCUCUCCCGAAUGGUCCCCUCGAGGGCUCGCCCCCUGACCGCCUCCCGUGCGCGCAGCGUUUGCUCUCUCGUCUACCACGGCCAGCGCCUCCCCGCUCCGAGUUCGGGGAGGGAUCACGCGGGGCAGAGCCUGUCUGUCGUCCUGCCGUUGCUGCGGAGCCAUGUGGCUCCGGUUGUGUGGUGGUGGCUGGGGAGAGGGCUCCGUGCACACCCCCGCGUGCGCGGUACUUUCCUCCCCUCCUGAGGGCCGCCGUGCGGGACGGGGUGUGGGUAGGCAACGGUGGGCUCCCGGGUCCCCACCCGUCUUCCCGUGCCUCACCCGUGCCUUCCGUCGCGUGCGUCCCUCUCGCUCGCGUCCACGACUUUGGCCGCUCCCGCGACGCGGGCCUGCGCCGCGCGUGGUGGGUGCUGUGUGCUUCUCGGGCUGUGUGGUUGUGUCGCCUCGCCCCCCCUUCCCGCGGCAGCGUUCCCACGGCUGGCGAAGUCGCGGGAGUCCUCCUUCCCCUCUUCGGGGUCGAGAGGGUCCGUGUCUGGCGUUGAUUGAUCUCGCUCUCGGGGACGGGACCGUUCUGUGGGAGAACGGCUGUUGGCCGCGUCCGGCGCGACGUCGGACGUGGGGACCCACUGCCGCUCGGGGGUCUUCGUCGGUAGGCAUCGGUGUGUCGGCAUCGGUCUCUCUCUCGUGUCGGUGUCGCCUCCUCGGGCUCCCGGGGGGCCGUCGUGUUUCGGGUCGCCUCGGCGCUGCAGGUGUGGUGGGACUGCUCAGGGGAGUGGUGCAGUGUGAUUCCCGCCGGUUUUGCCUCGCGUGCCCUGACCGGUCCGACGCCCGAGCGGUCUCUCGGUCCCUUGUGAGGACCCCCUUCCGGGAGGGGCCCGUUUCGGCCGCCCUUGCCGUCGUCGCCGGCCCUCGUUCUGCUGUGUCGUUCCCUCCUCCCCGCUCGCCGCAGCCGGUCUUUUUUUCCUCUCUCUCCCCCUCUCCUCUGACUGACCCGUGGCCGUGCUGUCGGACCCCCGCAUGGGGGGCGGCCGGGCACGUACGCGUCCGGGCGGUCACCGGGGUCUUGGGGGGGCCGAGGGGUAGAAAGUCGGCUCGGCGGGUGGGAGGAGCUGUGGUUUGGAGGGCGUCCCGGCCCCGCGGCCGUGGCGGUGUCUUGCGCGGUCUUGGAGAGGGCUGCGUGCGAGGGGAAAAGGUUGCCCCGCGAGGGCAAAGGGAAAGAGGCUAGCAGUGGUCAUUGUCCCGACGGUGUGGUGGUCUGUUGGCCGAGGUGAGUCUUGGGGGCUCGUCCGGCCCUGUCGUCCUUCGGGAAGGCGCGUGUUGGGGCCUGCCGGAGUGCCGAGGUGGGUACCCUGGCGGUGGGAUUAACCCCGCGCGCGUGUCCCGGUGUGGCGGUGGGGGCUCCGGUCGAUGUCUACCUCCCUCUCCCCGAGGUCUCAGGCCUUCUCCGCGCGGGCUCUCGGCCCUCCCCUCGUUCCUCCCUCUCGCGGGGUUCAAGUCGCUCGUCGACCUCCCCUCCUCCGUCCUUCCAUCUCUCGCGCAAUGGCGCCG